CAACAGAAAAAGUAACAUGAGGAUAAAAUCAAAGUUGACAUCAGUUCUAAAUGCUGGGGCUCUUCCUCCCCCCCCCACCUUCCCUUUUUCUUUUCUUUUCUUUCUUGUUUUUGUUUUUUGUUCCUGUUUGGAAAAUACCUGGCAUGUUCUGGAUGGUACCAGAAAUCUGAACCCAUGAGCCUGAAGACAUUAUCCUAUUUGGGUCUCUAAAAUCCUAUGUUUUAAAACUUACUUGGAUCUGUCUCAGGAUUUCUAUUCACCUGGAGCUUGCAGAAUUCAAAACCACUUCUGUGGAACUAAGAUGGAGUUUGAUGGGUUUUGCAAGUAAUUACGGGGGGGAAAUAGAUGGAUGAAUUAAGCUCUGAAAAGUUUCAAGUAUACCUAUGGGCAAAAUGCAAGGUUCCUAUCCCAGAUAUUAGAAGCUUAUAAUGGAAAUAUGAAGAGUUGACGUAGUAGUGUAGAGCUUGUUACCUGCCCGUAAUGUUCUGAAUAUCUUCUUUGCGUGCUUCAAAAUGGCAACAACAACAGGUUAUGCUAUACUAUCAAUAUAGUACCAUUGUUCUGUUUGGCAACCACCAAGCUGUAGAACCAGAACAAGGAAUCUAAAACAUUAAAGGUAUCUGAAUUGACCUUGACUGCUUUUCUAAAAGCAUGCCACAAAAAUCAAUGCAAGAGAUUUACUCUGACUCUAAUGGAACAAGUCCAGCACCUUCAAAUAAUUCUGCAGCAAGUUCCACUUCAUUGCCAGCCAUCACAAAUUCACUGAACAAUAAUACCACUCCCCCAGGACAUGGAAAUUGCCUUCAGUCAACCACAAGUCUCCUCAUCGUCUCAAUUUCUCUUCUGCACCUCUGCUGCUGAAAGACUCUGGCUGGAAAACAAUGACUACUCCUCACCCAAGUCCCUGAAUCAUUGGUGAUGGCUACAGAUCUUCAAAGCCUGCAUGAAAACAUCAAAUUUGACUUGGUUCCAUUCCCUGCAUUAAAUCAGUAUCAAUCUGAUCUAGAGAAUUGUGCAAAAGUUGCUGAUGUUCCAACACUGACUGAUGUGAAAAGGAUAUGACCACCUUCAGCCAGAGGAAAAAUGAUGAGCUCCAGAGCAUAGCCAGCUGGAAUCUGUAUACAAGAUGGAAGCAAAGAGAUGAUGCUUCCAUUCCCUGAUCUUUUAAAAAUGAGAAGAUAUGAAAACGCCAUGUAGUAGGUGUGGGUGACAGAUUCAGCCAAAUUAAAAAAAAAACCCGCAACUUCAUAGAGCUUUUUAUUUUGAAUUUUAAAUACAAAAGUUGCAAAGCUCACAAAACCACUAAAGAAUAAAAACAGCUUACAUGAUCCUGUUUACUUAUCUACAGUAGUAAGGAAAGUAUUCAAGAGAAACAGAUAAAUAUUAAUAACCCCAACAAGGAAUCCUUUUAGUUUGCAUUGUACGCAUUUGCCAUGAGGAUAAAAGAAUUGCAAAUGUUGUAAAACAAUAUCCUCUCAUUAAAUUCCAGCAAUCUUAAUUGAAUGCCUAUAUAGUCCGGAAUAGUUUAAAAGUACUUAGAAAUCAUUGGGGGGGAGGGUUAGUUUUAAGAGUUGAAUUAUUAACUAUGGGGAGGUAGCAAGUUCCAGGAGGAGGAUGAAUUGGGGCUGUGGAGAAGUUACCAGGAGCAUUUUGUUAACACUCCCAUACAAUAGUCUUGGGAGAAGCAUUCCCUUUAAAUUCUAUGAAUGUUUUCAUUCCUUCUUUGGCUCCCUUCUCUUUCUGGCCCCUGCCCCCCCCUUCCCCAUACCUCUUUUUCUUCCUAGAACCAGCUUUUAAUGCUGAAAUAUCUGUGGGAUCUUUGAGUAAUUUUAAAUGCUGCUUUCUGGUACAAACUGAAAACUAUUUUUGUUUUCAAGACUUAACUAUUGUGAUUUUAAAGUAAAAGGCUAGCUAAUAUUUGGGAGGAUGGGAGGAAGAAGCUUUGAAAGCCAAAAAUACAAAACAAUAUAAUUGGGUGUGCUUUGGAAACAUGAAGACUGGAAUCUAAUUGAAUCAUUCAGUUAUAAAAAAUUUUAUAUUGCUUCUGUAAAUACAUUUUUUAAAAUGUUAUGAAUCCAAAGUGAUACUUUCACAACUUGUUUCUGUAUUAUCACAUCUUUUGGAUAAGAGUGCCAUACUCAAACUAAAGCAAGCUUAAUUGAGGGAGGAAAAAACAAACUACAUUGAUGCUAAAAUCUGUUAAAAGCAAGUCAAUAGUGUAAAUGUGAUCACAUGAUUAUUCAUAUUGCCCACAAUGAAAGCUUAUCAGCCCUUUAUGAGCCUUCAUUACUUUCAAACAAUUAACAUCUUACUUGACAGUUACCUUGACUACGUACCCAGACAUGCAAACAGUAGUGGCAAAAUAGUGUAAAUUACUGUCAUUGAGUGUGUAUGGACAUCUCCUUAUGCCUAUAUUUUGUAUCAGUUCACUGUAAUGAUUGUAUUUUUUGUGUCUGUAAUUAUGCUUUGAUUAAGUAUUGGACAUGAAUUGUAAAUAAAAGGAGCAGGGACUGCACUUCAGCCACACUUCCAGAAAAUUCUUCUCAAAAACCUUGUAACUCACCUGCACAAUAUAAAUAAACUGGCCAAGCAAGACCAUAUAUGUGAUUAAAAACUUCAAAGGUCUAGA